rnacentral:lncRNA from 1 species
CGGCACCCGGACACCCCGGCCUCACGCCCGCCGCGGCGCUGCGGACCCGGCCCCGCCUGAGCCCUCGCUGGCAGCGGCGAUCGCGAUCGGAGCGCCCACCCGAGCCUUCCCCCCACGGGCAAGGAAAGUGAAGUGGAAACAAUGUGAAAUUCACCAGCUCUGAAAUCAACAAGCUGCCGGCUCGGGAGCUACGGAGCCAACAGCGGCGUCCCCAUUUAAAGGGACAGCGCACCCGGUGGAGAGAAGAAAUAAAUACUCGAAGAGGUCUGCGCGCCCGGAUCGCUCGCCAGCGUGUGUUCCGCAGACGCGCGAGGUGCGGACGUGUUCUCUCCACACCUCCGCCGCCCCCACUGGGCUCGCCAAGCGCAUUCAAGGAUAAAAGAGUCUUCUCGGCGGCUUCUAAGGGCGUGUCCCCGCGAGGACGUCUGUCUGCGGGCGCGUUUGCAUCUCUACCCCGGGAACCCCGACACCUUUAGAUGGCGAAAGGAACCUACCUGCUUUAAGGAAUAUGAAACCGAUCUUCUCUUUUGCAGAAGGAAAGAGAUGAAAGGAAGAAUGAAGAGAAAGACAAUUACUGAAAGAUGUUCAAGAAUGUCUGAACUUUGUUUAAAAAAUAAUGCAUACAUCCAGAGUUUUGAAGAAUGCCUGAACAGUCCACCGUCUACGGAAGUACUAAGGACAAGAUUUUUAUCCCUGUUCAGAUACUAG